AUGGGAUCACCAUCAUCUCACCAUGGGAUCACUAGGAUGUCACCAUCGGAUCACCAGGAGUCACCAUGGCAGCACUGGGAGUCACCAUGGGAUCACCAGGAGUCACCAUGGGAUCACCGGGAAUCACCAUGGGAUCACCAGGAGUCACCAUGGGGUCACCAUGGAAUCACCAUGGGAUCACCAGGAUCUCACUAUGGGAUCACCAGGAGUCACCAUGGCAACACUGGGAGUCACCAUGGCAGCACCAUAAGGUCACCAUGGGAUCACCAGGAUCUCAUUCACCAUAGGAUCACCAUCAUCUCACCAUGGGAUCACCAGGAGUCACUAUGGGAUCACCGGGAAUCACCAUGGCAGCACUGGGAGUCGCCAUGGGAUCAGCAGGAGUCACCAUGGGAUCACCGGGAGUCACCAUGGCAGCACCAGGAAUCACCAUGGGAUCACCAGGAUCUCACUAUGGGAUCACCAGGAGGUCACCAUGGCAGCACUGGGGGUCACCAUGGGAUCACCAGGAUGUCACCAUGGGGUCACCAGGAGGUCAGCAUGGGAUCACCAGGAGUCACCAUGGGAUCACCAGGAAUCACCAUGGGAUCACCAUCAUCUCACCAUGGGAUCACUAGGAUGUCACCAUCGGAUCACCAGGAGUCACCAUGGCAGCACUGGGAGUCACCAUGGGGUCACCAGCAGUCGCCAUGGGGUCACCAGGAGUCACCAUGGGAUCACCGGGAAUCACCAUGGGAUCACCAGGAGUCGCCAUGGGAUCACCAGGAGGUCACCAUGGCAGCACUGGGAGUCACCAUGAGAUCACCUGAAUGUCCCCAUGGGAUCACCAGGAGUCACCAUGGCAACACUGGGGGGCACCAUGGCAGCACCAGGAAUCAACAUGGGAUCACCAGGAUCUCACUAUGGGAUCACCAGGAGGUCACCAUGGGAUCACCAGGAGUCACCAUGGGAUCACCAGGAGGUCACCAUGGCAGCACUGGGAGUCACCAUGGCAGCACCAUAAGGUCACCAUGGGAUCACCAGGUGUCACCAUGGGAUCACCAGGAUGUCACCAUGGGGUCACCAGGAGGUCAGCAUGGGAUCACCAGGACUCACAAUGGGAUCACUGGGAGUCACCAUGGGAUCACCAGGAGUCACCAUGGGAUCACCGGGAAUCACCAUGGGAUCACCAGGAUCUCAUUAUGGGAUCACCAGGAGUCACCAUGGCAGCACUGGGAGUCGCCAUGGGAUCACCAGGAGGUCACCAUGGCAGCACUGGGAGUCACCAGGGGGUCACCAGGAGUGACCAUGGGAUCACCAGGAUCUUAUUAUGGGAUCACCUGAAUGUCCCCACGGGAUCACCUGAAUGUCACCAUGGCAGCACCAGGAUGUCACCAUGGCAGCACCUGAAUGUCACCAUGGGAUCACCUGAAUGUCCCCAUGGGAUCACCAUAACAUCACCAUGGGAUCACCAGGAGGUCAACAUGGGAUCAGCAGGAUGUCGCGAUGGGAUCACCAGGCUGUCACCAUGGCAGCACCAGGAUGUCACCAUGGGAUCACCUGAAUGUCCCCAUGGGAUCACCUGAAUGUCACCAUGGGAUCACCAGGAUGUUACCAUGGGAUCGCCUGAAUGUCACCACGGGAUCACCAGGAUCUCACUAUGGGAUCACCAGGAUUCCACCAUGGGAUCACCUGAACGUCCCCAUGGGAUCACCUGAAUGUCUCCAUGGGAUCACCAGGACCUCACUAUGGGAUCACCAGGAUGUCACCAUGGCAUCACCUGAAUGUCCCCAUGGGAUCACCAGGAGUCACCAUGGCAGCACCAGGAUGUCCCCAUGGGAUCACCAGGAGCUCAUUAUGGGAUCACCAGGAGGUCCCCAUAGGAUCACCUGAAUGUCCCCAUGGGAUCACCAGGAGCUCAUUAUGGGAUCACCAGGAUGUCCACAUGGGAUCACCAGGAGGUCGCCAUGACAGCACCAAGAUGUGACCAUGGGAUCACCAGGAUCUCAUUAUGGGAUCACCUGAAUGUCCCCAUGGGAUCACCAGGAUGUCAUCAUGGGAUCACCUGAAUGUCCCCAUGGGAUCACCUGAAUGUCACCAUGGGAUCACCAUAACAUCACCAUGGGAUCACCAGGAGGUCACCAUGGGAUCACCAGGAUGUCACCAUGGGAUCACCAGGAUGUCACUAUGGGAUCACCAGGAUCCCACCACGGGAUCACCAUAACGUCACCAUGGGAUCACCAGGCUGUCACCAUGGCAGCACCAGGAUGUCCCCAUGGGAUCACCAGGAGCUCACUAUGGGAUCACCAGGAUUCCACCAUGGGAUCACCUGAAUGUCCCCAUGGGAUCACCAGGAGCUCAUUAUGGGAUCACCAGGAUGUGACCAUGGGAUCAGCAGGAUGUCACCACAGGAUCACAAGGAUGUCACCAUGGGAUCACCAUAACAUCACCAUGGGAUCACCAGGAUGUCACUAUGGGAUCACCAUAACGUCACCAUGGCAGUACCAGGAGCUCAUUAUGGGAUCACCAGGAUGUCCACAUGGGAUCACCAGGAGGUCGCCAUGACAGCACCAAGAUGUGACAAUGGGAUCACCAGGAUCCCACCACGGGAUCACCAGGAUGUCACUAUGGGAUCACCAGGAUGUCACCAUGAGAUCACCUGAAUGUCCCCAUGGGGUCACCUGAAUGUCACCAUGGCAGCACCAGGAUCUCACCAUGGGAUCACCAUAACGUCCCCAUGGACACAGGCUGUCUACCAUGGAUCACCAGGAUGCUCAUUAGGAUCACCAGGAUUUGACCAUGGAUCAGUGCGAUGUCCCCAUGGGAUCACCUAAAUGUCCCCUGGGAUCACCUGAAUGUCACCAUGGCAGUACCAGGAUCUCACCAUGGGAUCACCUGAAUGUCCCCAUGGGAUCACCAUAACAUCACCAUGGGAUCACCAGGAUGUCGCUAUGGGAUCACCAAGAGUUCAUUAUGGGAUCACCAGGAUGUCACCAUGGGAUCACCACGAUGUCCCCAUGGGAUCACCAGGAGUCACCAUGGUAGCACCAGAAUCUCACCAUAGCAGUGCCAGGAGGUCACCAUGGAAUCACCAAGAGGUCAUU
rnacentral:lncRNA from 7 species